rnacentral:rRNA from 1 species
CCGUCAAUUUCAUUUGAGUUUUGCCCCGCCCCGGCCCCGCGCCCGUCCCGCCGCCCCCGCCCGCCUACGGGAGGCAGCAGGGGGGAAUAUUGCACAAUGGGCGAAAGCCUGAUGCAGCAACGCCGCGUGAGGGAUGACGGCCUUCGGGUUGUAAACCUCUUUUAGCAGGGAAGAAGCGAAAGUGACGGUACCUGCAGAAAAAGCGCCGGCUAACUACGUGCCAGCAGCCGCGGUAAUACGUAGGGCGCAAGCGUUAUCCGGAAUUAUUGGGCGUAAAGAGCUCGUAGGCGGUUUGUCGCGUCUGCUGUGAAAUCCCGAGGCUCAACCUCGGGCCUGCAGUGGGUACGGGCAGACUAGAGUGCGGUAGGGGAGAUUGGAAUUCCUGGUGUAGCGGUGGAAUGCGCAGAUAUCAGGAGGAACACCGAUGGCGAAGGCAGAUCUCUGGGCCGUAACUGACGCUGAGGAGCGAAAGGGUGGGGAGCAAACAGGCUUAGAUACCCUGGUAGUCCACCCCGUAAACGUUGGGAACUAGUUGUGGGGACCAUUCCACGGUUUCCGUGACGCAGCUAACGCAUUAAGUCCCCGCCUGGACUAACGACCACCUUC